GGGGCCGUAGCUCAGUUGGGAGAGCGCUUGAAUGGCAUUCAAGAGGGCGGGGGUUCAAGUCCCCUCGGCUCCACCA
rnacentral:tRNA from 3 species